GCUGAGUGCAGUGGUGUAUGCCUGUAAUCUCAGCAGCUCAGAGGCUGAGGCAAGAGGAUCACGAGUUCAAAGCCGACCUCAGCAACUUAGCAAGGUCCUAAGCAACUCAGUGAGACCAUGUCUCUA
rnacentral:sRNA from 1 species